GGAACUGGAAGUUGUGGAAACACUGCUUGUGAGAGCAGGUGCUUCUUAUUUGGUGAGCCAGCCAUCUGCAAUGCCGAAUGAGUAGAAGAGACCGGAAGCCUCGGCCAAGAUUCAUCAAAGCCAUCAACCAGGUCCUGCGCCAUGGACACAAAGCUGGACCCUGCCCGGGAUGAUCUGCCUCUCAUGGCCAACACCAGCCACAUGCUGGUGAAGCACUAUGUCCUGGAUCUGGAUGUGGAUUCUGAAAGUCGAGUCAUUGAGGGCACCAUAGUUCUUUUCUUUGGAGAUGGGAACAGAUUUAAAACACAGGCAAUUUCCUCCCAGGACACCAUCCAAAUGGAGUCAGAGAAAGACUGUACUUUUAGGACAACAGAACCCUGCCAUGUGCCCAAGAUGGAUGCAAGUACCUUCUCACCUCGGAUGGGGUAUAAUGAAUGUGCAGUCUGUGGUAAAGGUGAUCAAGAUGCCUUUGAUAACGAUGGUAACCAUGACAACUGGGAAUGUGAUUCUGAGAUCUCUAGCUCAAAGUACUGCUGUGACACAGGGAAUCAUGGGAGACAGGAUUUCUUGCUAGUGUUGGACUGCUGUGAUCUAUCUGUGCUAAAGGUAGAGGAGGUGGAUGUGGCUGCUGUGCCAGGCCUUGAGAGAUUCACAAAGGCUCCCAAGCUUGCAGCCACUCCUGAGAAGCUCAGGCGUGACAUUGUCCGUGACCUGGUGGCUCUGCCUGCAGAUGCUUGGAGGGAGCAGUUUGACUGCUACGCUCUCUGCAGCCAGGCUCCUGGAUGUGGGGAGCUCUUCUUUGACACUGACAGUUGGAGCUUACGUAUCAGGAGGACGGGGGCUCAGACAGCCGCUGACUUUCCUCAUGCCAUCAGGAUAUGGUACAAAACUAAACCUGAGGGGCAGUCAGUGACUUGGACCUCAGACCAGGAUGGCAGGCCAUGUGUUUAUACUAUGGGAUCCCCCAUCAACAACAGGGCCCUUUUUCCAUGCCAGGAACCACCGGUUGCCAUGUCAACAUGGCAGGCUACAGUUCGAGCAGCUGCAUCUUUUGUUGUUUUAAUGAGUGGGGAAAAUUCUGCUAAGCCCACACCACUUCGAGAAGGGUACAUGAGCUGGCAUUACUAUGUGACCAUGCCAAUGCCAGCCUCCACCUUCACAAUUGCAGUGGGAUCCUGGACAGAAGUGAAGCCUAAGACAUCCCCGUCAGAUGAGCUGGUGAUAGAGCACCCUCUCCUGCCUGCAAAAGCUGACUUCAGGUAUGCUGACACCUGCAGUCAUGUAGAAUACCCCUGCCGAUUCCAGGAUGCUUCUGCUGCCACCCAGGAGAUCAUUCCUCACCGAGUGUUUGCCCCACUGUGCCUUGAGGGUGCCUGCCAAGAGGCCCUGCUGUGGCUGGUCCCUCCUUGCCUGUCAGCUGCGCACUCUGUCUUGGGAACACACCCUUUCUCCCGGCUGGACAUACUCAUUGUCCCUGCCAACUUUCCAAGUCUGGGGAUGGCCAGCCCACACAUCAUCUUCCUCUCUCAGAGCACCUUAACAGGCGUGAGCCAUCUCUGUGGGACCCGUCUCUGCCAUGAAAUUGCUCAUGCCUGGUUUGGCCUAGCCAUCGGGGCCCGAGACUGGACAGAGGAGUGGCUCAGCGAAGGGUUCGCCACUCACCUGGAAGAUGUGUUUUGGGCCGAAGCACAGCAGCUGCCCCCCCACGAGGCCCUGGAGCAGCAAGAGCUGAGGGCUUGCCUGCGCUGGCAUCGCCUACAGGAUGAGCUGCGGAACUCCCCAGAGGAAAUGCAGGUGUUGAGACCCAACAAAGAGGACACUGGCCAUGUGAGCUCUUCAGGCGCGUCCGUUGUCAAGCAUGGACUCAACCCAGAGAAGGGCUUCAUGCAGGUUCAUUACUUAAAGGGCUACUUCCUUCUCCGAUUCCUAGCCAGAACACUUGGAAAGGAAACUUACUUUUCGUUUUUAAGAAAAUUUGUACACCUGUUUCAUGGGCAGUUGAUCCUUUCACAGGAUUUCCUUCAAAUUCUGUUGGAGAGCAUUCCAGAAGACAAAAGGCUCGGCCUGACUGUUGAGAACAUCAUCCGUGAUUGGCUUGAAUGUUCCGGAAUACCUAAGGCGCUGCGGGAGGAGCAGGAGGCCGAGGACUGCAAACGGAGUGGGCUGGCAGGACGAGUGGGCUCAGAGGUGGCGAAAUGGAUCCGACUGAACCGCAGACCCCGAAAACGCAAAAGAGGGAAGCAAAAAGCCGCCUUUGAAAAGCUUUCUCCGGACCAGAUCGUCUUGCUUUUGGAGUGUCUCUUAGAGCAGAAGGCCCUGAGCCCCCAGACAUUGCAGAGCCUCCAGCAGACGUACCGCCUCCAGGAGCAGGAUGCUGAGGUUCGCCAUCGAUGGUGUGAACUGAUCAUCAAGCACAAGUACACAAGAGCGUACGAGCAGGUGACAAGGUUCCUGCAGGAGGAUCAGGCCAUGGGCGUCUACCUCUAUGGGGAGCUGAUGGUGGGUGAGGACGCCAGGCAGCAGCAGCUUGCCCACAGGUGCUUUGAGCUGGUGAAGGAACACAUGGACAGAGCCUCAGCCCAGGUGGUGUCUGAAAUGCUGUUUUAAAGAGUCCAGGUCUCCAUGUGUCCACAGCCGCUGGCAGGAAGAUGCUGAGGCACUGCCCCGCCGUCAUUGGACCCGCCCUCCGGUGCCUACUGAGCUGAUAUCAGUUCAUUUCACACACUGGCUCAGUUCAGCAGGAACAGGAGUCGAGCCCUUGAGCAGGACAGAUCACAGUGAGACUCUCUUUCCUAUGCCUCCUCCUAGCCCCGAUGGGGCCAGGACUGCACUGACCCUGGACAUCAAAGGGAGGAUUAUGUGGCUGCUAAAGCCAUCAGCCGACAGCAGCGGUCACUCACUUGCAUUUUGGGCUCCCGUGGCAUGUAUAAAAGGCACAUAUAAAGCCUCAUAAACUGUUGCACCUGGCUGCUGCCUUUGUUCCCGGGCCUGGAAAGACUGAGCUGUGACUUGAAAUUGUUCAGAGAGUGAAGAUCUCUCCCUAGGCAGAUGGAGAACUGGCUGCCUGCUGCCAUGGUCUGAGAUGACAGCUUCACGCGACACCUUCUGUGGCUGGUCCCCAGAGAUUCCGCAGAGUCCUUUUGAUGUGUUCACUCAAUAGAACCUUUCUGUUUUUGGAAAAUACAGGAAAGCCUAAGAUGUCUUAAUAAAGUGUCGGAUUUGCUGGUA